GGAGACUUAGUUCAGCGGGAGAACGCUUCCUUCACACGGAAGAGGUCGUAGGUUCGAUCCCUACAGUGUCCACCA
rnacentral:tRNA from 2 species